rnacentral:tRNA from 1 species
GGGCGAUUAGCUCAGUUGGUAGAGCAGCUGACUCUUAAUCAGCGGGUCGAAGGUUCGAGUCCUUCAUCGCCCA